rnacentral:miRNA from 1 species
UAAAUGCACCGUCUGGAAUGAG